CGGGACGUGGCGCAGUAUGGUAGCGCACUUGACUGGGGGUCAAGGGGUCGCCGGUUCAAGUCCGGCCGUCCCGACCA
rnacentral:tRNA from 1 species